CCCUGCAGAGGUGGCACCACAGGCGCAGCUGCUCCGCAGCAGCAGUGCCGCCGGGAGGAGAGCAAGUGGCUGUGUCUAGCUCAGUGCUUCGGACACGGAGCGCUGAGGGUUUAUAGCCUCCUGUU